CAGCUUGCUGCUUUGCUGACGAGUGGCGGACGGGUGAGUAAUGUCUGGGAAACUGCCUGAUGGAGGGGGAUAACUACUGGAAACGGUAGCUAAUACCGCAUAACGUCGCAAGACCAAAGAGGGGGACCUUCGGGCCUCUUGCCAUCGGAUGUGCCCAGAUGGGAUUAGCUAGUAGGUGGGGUAAAGGCUCACCUAGGCGACGAUCCCUAGCUGGUCUGAGAGGAUGACCAGCCACACUGGAACUGAGACACGGUCCAGACUCCUACGGGAGGCAGCAGUGGGGAAUAUUGCACAAUGGGCGCAAGCCUGAUGCAGCCAUGCCGCGUGUAUGAAGAAGGCCUUCGGGUUGUAAAGUACUUUCAGCGGGGAGGAAGGGAGUAAAGUUAAUACCUUUGCUCAUUGACGUUACCCGCAGAAGAAGCACCGGCUAACUCCGUGCCAGCAGCCGCGGUAAUACGGAGGGUGCAAGCGUUAAUCGGAAUUACUGGGCGUAAAGCGCACGCAGGCGGUUUGUUAAGUCAGAUGUGAAAUCCCCGGGCUCAACCUGGGAACUGCAUCUGAUACUGGCAAGCUUGAGUCUCGUAGAGGGGGGUAGAAUUCCAGGUGUAGCGGUGAAAUGCGUAGAGAUCUGGAGGAAUACCGGUGGCGAAGGCGGCCCCCUGGACGAAGACUGACGCUCAG
rnacentral:rRNA from 1 species